AACGAACGCUGGCGGCAUGCCUAACACAUGCAAGUCGAACGAGACCUUCGGGUCUAGUGGCGCACGGGUGCGUAACGCGUGGGAACCUUCCCUUAGGUUCGGAAUAACUCCCCGAAAGGGGUUCUAAUACCGGAUAAUGUCUUCGGACCAAAGAUUUAUCGCCUUUGGAUGGGCCCGCUUUGGAUUAGCUAGUUGGUAGGGUAAAAGCCUACCAAGGCGACGAUCCAUAGCUGGUCUGAGAGGAUGAUCAGCCACACUGGGACUGAGACACGGCCCAGAAUCCUACGGGAGGCAGCAGUGGGGAAUAUUGGACAAUGGGCGAAAGCCUGAUCCAGCAAUGCCGCGUGAGUGAUGAAGGCCUUAGGGUUGUAAAGCUCUUUUACCCGGGAUGAUAAUGACAGUACCGGGAGAAUAAGCUCCGGCUAACUCCGUG
rnacentral:rRNA from 1 species